UAAUAUAAUUUUCUCCGAGCCAUCCUACCUAAAACAUUUAUGUCAAGGUAUUUUGGCCGUUAGGGUUAAUCUGGAAAUGGAUUAGCCUCCCUGUUGGAAAGGAGAGCAUUUUCCCGCCUG
rnacentral:ncRNA from 2 species